rnacentral:rRNA from 1 species
AGUCGAACGGAAAGGCCCUGCUUGCAGGGUACUCGAGUGGCGAACGGGUGAGUAACACGUGGGUGAUCUGCCCUGCACUUCGGGAUAAGCCUGGGAAACUGGGUCUAAUACCGGAUAGGAGCCAUUUUUAGUGUGAUGGUUGGAAAGUUUUUUCGGUGUAGGAUGAGCUCGCGGCCUAUCAGCUUGUUGGUGGGGUAAUGGCCUACCAAGGCGGCGACGGGUAGCCGGCCUGAGAGGGUGGACGGCCACAUUGGGACUGAGAUACGGCCCAGACUCCUACGGGAGGCAGCAGUGGGGAAUAUUGCACAAUGGGCGCAAGCCUGAUGCAGCGACGCCGCGUGGGGGAUGACGGCCUUCGGGUUGUAAACUCCUUUCGCUAGGGACGAAGCUUUUUGUGACGGUACCUAGAUAAGAAGCACCGGCUAACUACGUGCCAGCAGCCGCGGUAAUACGUAGGGUGCGAGCGUUGUCCGGAAUUACUGGGCGUAAAGGGCUCGUAGGUGGUUUGUCGCGUCGUCUGUGAAAUUCCGGGGCUUAACUCCGGGCGUGCAGGCGAUACGGGCAUAACUUGAGUACUGUAGGGGUAACUGGAAUUCCUGGUGUAGCGGUGAAAUGCGCAGAUAUCAGGAGGAACACCGAUGGCGAAGGCAGGUUACUGGGCAGUUACUGACGCUGAGGAGCGAAAGCAUGGGUAGCGAACAGGAUU